rnacentral:rRNA from 1 species
CAGAGACUGCAAGCGUUAUUCGGAUUCACUGGGCGUAAAGGGUGCGCAGGCGGCCGUGUGUGUCAGGUGUGAAAUCCCGGAGCUUAACUCCGGAACUGCGCCUGAAACUACAUGGCUAGAGUAUUGGAGAGGGUAACGGAAUUCACGGUGUAGCAGUGAAAUGCGUAGAUAUCGUGAGGAACACCAGAGGCGAAGGCGGUUACCUGGACAAUUACAGACGCUCAGGCACGAAAGCAUGGGGAGCAAAAGGGAUUAGAUACCCCUGUAGUCCAUGCCCUAAACGGUGCACACUAGGUCUUGGCGGAUUCGUCCCCACCAGGGCCCAAGCUAACGCGUUAAGUGUGCCGCCUGAGGACUACGGUCGCAAGACUA